GGGCUUGACAUCCCACGAACCUGCCCGAAAAGGUGGGGUGCCCGCAAGGGAGCGUGGAGACAGGUGGUGCAUGGCUGUCGUCAGCUCGUGUCGUGAGAUGUUGGGUUAAGUCCCGCAACGAGCGCAACCCUCACCCCUAGUUGCCAUCGGGUUAAGCCGAGCACUCAAGGGGAACUGCCAGCGUCAAGCUGGAGGAAGGCGGGGAUGACGUCAAGUCAUCAUGCCCCUUACGCCCUGGGCUACACACGUGCUACAAUGGCCAGUACAAAGGGACGCGAGACUGCGAAGUGGAGCUAAUCCCAAAAAGCUGGUCUAAGUUCAGAUUGCAGUCUGCAACUCGACUGCAUGAAGGAGGAAUCGCUAGUAAUCGCGUAUCAGCCCGGCGCGGUGAAUACGUUCCCGGGCCUUGUACACACCGCCCGUCACACCACGAAAGCUGUCUGUACUCGAAGUCGCUGAG
rnacentral:rRNA from 1 species